UACGAUCACAACAGAUGCUGCUCAGCCAUGUUCUUAUGCUAUUAAGACAUCGUGCAAUGAUAGACCCAACAAAUUCUUAGUGGUUCCAAGUACGCUACUAAUGCUAUUACUACUUGGUACUCUUGAAAAUAAACACAUGACAUGCCGUUUGGCCUAUUUGUACCUAAAAUCAUGAUAUUAUGAAAAUCUGAAUUUUUGUUGGAUAAGAGACUAGAAACAACACGAUCCACGUUAGAUAUUGUAAAUUUGAUAUCAACGUCUUCUAUAAAUACAAAUAAUGAGUAUUGAUAUCUUACAAAUCAAUGCAUGUGGAAAUAGCAUUGGACAGUUCAUUUCUCGCAUAAAUUUUAAAAAAAAGAGUUAUAAAACGUCAUCAUCCACGAUUUUAUCUUUUCGUGGUUGGGUUAAUAGAAUUUGGGAUGAUCGGAGAUCGCCAGAAUUAUUGGUCGUAGACAUUUUUUUUGUUUAUAUUUUAUACAAAAUUACUGAAAACUCACCAAAUUUAAUUGUCUAAAAAUUAUCUUUCAAACUGUAAUGUAUAAAUCAUUCAUUCAACACCUUAAAAAAAAAUCUAAAAAACGCACCUUUUACACUGGAAAUAAAACCUCUCCUCCAAAUUUAACCAUAGUAAACCGACUACCCUAUUUCGUUCUAAAAUAAAUGAAAAGGAACCCAUAACUCGAUUUUCAGGAAAAAUAUAUCAAUCAUGCAAUGUAUAAAUCAAACAUUCACAAGUUUAUAAAUAACAUCGAAUGUACCUUAUUGGAUUUAGCACGACGAUGGACGGAGUUGGGGAAGAUGAUCGGAGUUGGGGAAGAUGAUU
rnacentral:lncRNA from 1 species